rnacentral:rRNA from 1 species
GACGAACGCUGGCGGCGUGCCUAAUACAUGCAAGUCGAGCGGACUUUCAAGAAGCUUGCUUUUUGAAAGUUAGCGGCGGACGGGUGAGUAACACGUGGGCAACCUGCCUGUAAGACGGGGAUAACUCCGGGAAACCGGGGCUAAUACCGGAUAAUAUCUUUCUUCGCAUGAAGGAAGGUUGAAAGGCGGCGCAAGCUGCCGCUUGCAGAUGGGCCCGCGGCGCAUUAGCUAGUUGGUGAGGUAACGGCUCACCAAGGCGACGAUGCGUAGCCGACCUGAGGGGGUGAUCGGCCACACUGGGACUGAGACACGGCCCAGACUCCUACGGGAGGCAGCAGUAGGGAAUCUUCCGCAAUGGACGAAAGUCUGACGGAGUAACGCCGCGUGAGCGAAGAAGGUCUUCGGAUCGUAAAGCUCUGUUGUCAGGGAAGAACAAGUACCGUUCGAAUAGGGCGGUACCUUGACGGUACCUGACCAGAAAGCCACGGCUAACUACGUGCCAGCCGCCGCGGUAA